rnacentral:piRNA from 1 species
UGUCACCCAUUAGUUGCCUGUAGCUCUUU